AAUUCGGUCACCAUGGGGAUGGGCUGGGGCCUUUUCCUGUUGGUCCAGACCCCUCAAUCUGCCCAGAGAAGCCACGACAGAAGAGUGGUGAUUGGUGCAAGCGACAUGGGAUGAGAACCACUGGACCACCAGGGAAGUCCCAUGACUUUAAUUUUUUAUUUACCCUAUGGGUUCAGCACUGAUCAAGGUAUUGAGUGAACUGGCUGGCUCUCACUAAGUAUGGCCUUUAAGGACUAUCUACUGCAUUCCCCUUGGCAAAAUUUCAAUGGAGGUGCUUUACCCAAGUCUACUGAUGGAAUCUGACAUUUGGAAAAGGGGACAAAACUUGAAGAGGCUCAAAGGCAUCCUGAGAAGAGAAGAAAGAGAAGGAAGUGUAAAAGACAGUAGUACCAGCCUGGGUGCCUGGUAUUCCCCCAGAGGCCAACAGUCCUGGACCUCUCACCUUUUGAGGAUGAUAAUUAGGGUUCCUGAAGCCGUAGCCAGGUAAAGGACACUGUUGAAGCUCUUCUCAGAAAACAGGUGGGAUUGAGGAGAUUUAUUUAUGACUUACUGGAAGCACAAACAGAAGCUUUUAUUGUUGAUAGCUAGGCUGGGUGGAUGCCAGGAGACACAUCCCAGAGGAGCUGUGCUGCCAAGCACUGACACAGAGAGAGCUGACCUAGUCCUUUUUUAUGCUGACUGCCUACCCAGAAAUUAUAUUAAAGAACAGUAUUGGAAGACCCAGUCAUUUAAAAUAAUUAUGGAGACUUUAGAGCAAUCCUAAUUCUAAGGAACCAUUUGAAGGGAAAUAGAGAAGGAAUAUAAUCAUUAGCUUUAUGUGGAACUACUGUUCAGCUUGUGUAGGGAAACUGCCUUGAGACAGCUCUACAUGGCCAAGCAUUCAGUAUCAUCAUCCUUCCUGCUCCUUUGAAACUACAAAUUUAAAUUCAAGCUUUCAACAAAUGCCUCGUAGACACAUCCAGGGGAAAACAUUGUUGUAACCAAUAAUUUUAGGUUUGGGAAUAUUUUUCAGAUUCUGAAGUGAAAGUCAGAGGGGGAAAGGGACAGUGUGUGCAUGCUGGGAGGUUUGGGGGAGAAGGGAGAGGGAGGAGGAGAGGAGAGAGAAAGAUCAACUUUUUAGGUAAAUAGUAAUUUACAAUGCAGGAUAAUGCAUACAUUUUCUCAGAUUCAACAGAAUCAUAAAAUGUCAGGGCUGGAAAGAGUUUUAGCGAUGAUUUUCCUGUCCCUCACUGGUCAUCUUACUGAUGAGGAAAAGUGGAGUGACCUGUCCAAAGAGGCAGAGCCAAGUGGUGGCAGAACUGGGCUGAAAGCCAGGUGUGCUCACUCUUCUCCUGGCAUCCUGACCUCCCAUCACAUCUGCAUUUAAUUCCCACCUUGCCUGACAGCUCUGGCCCCUCAGCCAUCAGAAGUUUUGGACAAAGGGAACAGUCAGCAGAUGGGAUUGUGAUUCAGUGCAAUUGCCUUCUAGCCUUGUCUUGUAUCAUCACAUCCUAAAAUAAAUAAAUCAAUUCUGAUUUUCAACCAGCUCUUAUUUUUUUAAUCUUUCAUUUGGAAAA